CAGCCGCCGCGGUAAUACGUAGGUGGCAAGCGUUGUCCGGAAUUAUUGGGCGUAAAGGGCGCGUAGGCGGCCGAUCAAGUCAGGCGUGAAAGCCCCGGGCUUAACCUGGGAAUUGCGUUUGGGACUGGUUGGCUUGAGUUCGGGAGAGGAGAGUGGGAUUCCCAGUGUAGAGGUGAAAUUCGUAGAUAUUGGGAAGAACACCGGUGGCGAAGGCGGCUCUCUGGACCGAUACUGACGCUGAGGCGCGAAAGCGUGGGGAGCAAACAGGAUUAGAUACCCCCGUAGUCCCUGUCUCUUAUAC
rnacentral:rRNA from 1 species